rnacentral:rRNA from 1 species
GACGAACGCUGGCGGCGUGCUUAACACAUGCAAGUCGAACGGAAAGGCCCUGCUUUUGUGGGGUGCUCGAGUGGCGAACGGGUGAGUAACACGUGAGUAACCUGCCCUUGACUUUGGUAUAACUUCAGGAAACUUGGGCUAAUACCGGAUAGGAGCUCCUGCUGCAUGGUGGGGGUUGGAAAGUUUCGGAGGUUGGGGAUGUACCCGCGGAGGAUCAGGUUGUUGGUGGGGUAGUGGCCUACCAAGGCGAUGACCGGUAGCUGGCCUGAGAGGAGGACCGGACACAAUGGGACUGAGACACGGCCCAGACUCCUACGGGAGGCAGCAGUGGGGAAUAUUGGACAAGGGGCGAAAGCCUGAUCCAGCAAUGCCGCGUGAGUGAUGAAGGCCUUAGGGUUGUAAAGCUCUUUUACCAGGGAUGAUAAUGACAGUACCUGGAGAAUAAGCUCCGGCUAACUCCGUG